UUGAUGAUUGAAAGUUGUGCG
ensembl:piRNA 21ur-3395 ncRNA